rnacentral:tRNA from 1 species
AUCUAUUUAGUUUAAAAAAAUUUAAAUUUGUGGAAUUUAAGAUGUAAGCAUAUACUACAUUAGAUA